rnacentral:rRNA from 1 species
AACGAACGCUGGCGGCAGGCUUAACACAUGCAAGUCGAGCGCCCCGCAAGGGGAGCGGCAGACGGGUGAGUAACGCGUGGGAAUCUACCCAUCCCUACGGAACAACUCCGGGAAACUGGAGCUAAUACCGUAUACGCCCUUCGGGGGAAAGAUUUAUCGGGGAUGGAUGAGCCCGCGUUGGAUUAGCUAGUUGGUGGGGUAAUGGCCUACCAAGGCGACGAUCCAUAGCUGGUCUGAGAGGAUGAUCAGCCACACUGGGACUGAGACGCGGCCCAGACUCCUACGGGAGGCAGCAGUGGGGAAUAUUGGACAAUGGGCGCAAGCCUGAUCCAGCCAUGCCGCGUGAGUGAUGAAGGCCCUAGGGUUGUAAAGCUCUUUCACCGGUGAAGAUAAUGACGGUAACCGGAGAAGAAGCCCCGGCUAACUUCGUGCCAGCCGCCGCCGUAAAAC